UCCCACAUUUCCUUUUUCAUAAAUUUGUAUCAGAUUGUAUCCCCCUUUCUCCCAAUUUGGUAGCCAAUUACACCCAACCUAUUAUCCAGUAGCAAUGGACUACAGAUGGAAUGUAGCUUUUAGCUAAAUCUGGUAACUAAUCCUAACC